rfam:Aspergillus tubingensis CBS 134.48 unplaced genomic scaffold ASPTTscaffold_15, whole genome shotgun sequence.
GAAUAUACUUCACUUUUCUUCAAACACUUUCAUAGUAUAUAUACAUACUAUUACCCUAUCUACCACCAUGGCCCCCUGCGAGUGCAAGUGCUGCUCUGGCAGCUGCAACUCCUGCUCUUGCGCUAACUGCAAGGUGUGUACACAUCCUCGAAUA